rnacentral:hammerhead_ribozyme from 1 species
AUCCAGAUGAUGAGUCUCAAAUAGGACGAUACGCACGUCCUGUAU